UUAGCAAAGUUUCCUUUUUUUGCUGUUGUUGUUGGGGUGGAGGGUGGAGAGUAUAGGGAGACAAGGCCACUUGGCAAGUCUCCUGAGAGGGUUGGGGGCUUGGGGUUGCUGCCUCCUGGGCUGGGGCAAGAGGAGUCCCAACUUUUGUUGGACAAACUCUCAAGCCCCGAUUCCUUGAUUUCUGAGUGCGCCCUUCAAGGACCUGUCUCGGCGCCAGAACUGGGCAGGGCCAUGCCCCCCCCCGCCUUCCACAUUUAGUUUCCGAAAAUGAAAAGCCCCCUUGGUCUGGGAGAGCCUUUUGUGCUGUCCGGGGUAUGUAGUGACAGUCAUGGUGUGUGUGGAGGGUGUGGUCUGGGCCUCUCUGGUCUCCUUUGGGGGUGCGUCCAGGUGGAGUCCUGCCCAGCCAGCAGCCUCCACGCCCUCCAGCCCCACGCAGGCUCAGGGGAGCAGCAUCUUAGGGCUGUGGGCUGCUCUGGGGGACCUGCUCUGCUGCUUGUGCUGACAGGCUGCACCCCACACCUUGGGAUUCCAGAACAUUGGACAGGGCGCUCAAUCCCACCUGGCUCCCCGCCCCUUGCACAGAGUAACUCCCAGUGCCCAGAGAGGUUGAUGCUGAGACUUCCUUGGGGCCGGAGGGCCCCCUGAGGCCUCUGGGAGGAGAUGGACCAGCCGCAGCUACAGGUGUGUGCUGGCUGUGCCCUUGUCCCACCUCAAUGUGACCUGGCUGCCUGGGCUUCAGCUAUUCUUGGUCAUUGUCCCUAUCUUGCCCCCCCAAACCCCCCAUUGGCUUCUUGAUGCUCUGGGCAUUCCCAGGCACUGUCCUGCCUCUGAGCCCCCACACAUGCUGUUCCCUCAGCCCUUUUCCCUCCCCUGGCGACUCUCAUUCCUCCUCCUCCACUACCUUCACCUCCACCUGGGUCCAGCCUGCCUGGUCUCCCAGAGGGACCUGAGCCUUCCUCCGUGCCCCCCUCCCCGGUGCCCUCCUGCCUUCAGCCUUCCUCCGCAUCCACAGCCACAGCAGGGGCAGGUUUCACCACCGGGUUUUGUACCUGCAGCCCCGGCCCAGCUUCUCCCAGGCUGGCCGCUGGGUCCUCUGCAGUGAUGACCCUGCACCUGGCACCCAGGAAAAGCUCAAUAAACUUUUGCAAAAU